GGGUCAGUGGCGGAAUUGGUAUACGCGCGACACUUAAAAUGUCGUCCGCAUUAAAAAGCGGGUGAGGGUUCGACCCCCUCCUGACCCA
rnacentral:tRNA from 1 species